GUUUGAUCCUGGCUCAGGACGAACGCUGGCGGCGCGCCUAACACAUGCAAGUCGAACGAAGUCAAGAGGAGCUUGCUCUUUUUGACUUAGUGGCGAACGGGUGAGUAACGCGUGAGGAACCUGCCUCAAAGAGGGGGACAACAGUUGGAAACGACUGCUAAUACCGCAUAAGCCCACAGCUCCGCAUGGAGCAGAGGGAAAAGGAGCAAUCCGCUUUGAGAUGGCCUCGCGUCCGAUUAGCUAGUUGGUGAGGUAACGGCCCACCAAGGCGACGAUCGGUAGCCGGACUGAGAGGUUGAUCGGCCACAUUGGGACUGAGACACGGCCCAGACUCCUACGGGAGGCAGCAGUGGGGAAUAUUGCACAAUGGGGGAAACCCUGAUGCAGCGACGCCGCGUGGAGGAAGAAGGUCUUCGGAUUGUAAACUCCUGUUGUUGGGGAAGAUAAUGACGGUACCCAACAAGGAAGUGACGGCUAACUACGUGCCAGCAGCCGCGGUAAAACGUAGGUCACAAGCGUUGUCCGGAAUUACUGGGUGUAAAGGGAGCGCAGGCGGGAAGACAAGUUGGAAGUGAAAUCUAUGGGCUCAACCCAUAAACUGCUUUCAAAACUGUUUUUCUUGAGUAGUGCAGAGGUAGGCGGAAUUCCCGGUGUAGCGGUGGAAUGCGUAGAUAUCGGGAGGAACACCAGUGGCGAAGGCGGCCUACUGGGCACCAACUGACGCUGAGGCUCGAAAGUGUGGGUAGCAAACAGGAUUAGAUACCCUGGUAGUCCACACUGUAAACGAUGAUUACUAGGUGUUGGGGGAUUGACCCCCUCAGUGCCGCAGUUAACACAAUAAGUAAUCCACCUGGGGAGUACGACCGCAAGGUUGAAACUCAAAGGAAUUGACGGGGGCCCGCACAAGCAGUGGAGUAUGUGGUUUAAUUCGACGCAACGCGAAGAACCUUACCAAGUCUUGACAUCCUGCGACGGUGCUAGAAAUAGUACUUUCCUUCGGGACGCAGAGACAGGUGGUGCAUGGUUGUCGUCAGCUCGUGUCGUGAGAUGUUGGGUUAAGU
rnacentral:rRNA from 1 species